rnacentral:rRNA from 1 species
AUGGGCGAGCGCAAGGUGCUGAACAAACACUACCCGGACGACUUCGACCCGGCGAAGAUCCCGCGGCGGCGGCAGCCCAAGAACCGACAGAUCGUUGUGCGCGUGAUGCUCCCGAUGAGCAUCCGCUGCGGCACCUGCGGGACGUACAUCUCCAAGGGCACCAAGUUCAACUCACGCAAAGAGGACGCCGCCGGGGAGGCAUACCUGGGGAUACGAAUACACAGGUUCUACAUCAAGUGCACACGCUGCUCCGCCGAGAUCGCCUUCAAGACGGACCCCAGGAACUCGGACUACACGGUGGAGUCCGGGGCCAGCCGCAACUUCGAGCCAUGGCGCGAGGCAGAGGCUGUGGCGGACAAGGAGAAGAGGAAACGAGCCGCGGAGGAGAUGGGCGACACCAUGAGAGCGCUGGAGAACAGAGCCAUGGAUUCCAAGCGGGACAUGGACGUACUCGCCGAUUUGGAAGAGACGCGGUCGAUCAAGUCUAGGCAUGAAGGGGUCUCCAUUGACCGGAUGCUUGGGAUUCUGAACCAUUCUGCUUCUACUGCCCAUCAUCAAAAUUUAAAGGAGGAGGAAAAUACUGUACUACUAGCAGAGGAAGACGAAGAGCUCGUCAGAUCAAUCACUUUCCGUAACUCGGAAGGUUACGUAAAACGGAUCGAAGUCAAUGAUGAAGAUUUUCUGUCAGAGAUCAUCAACGAGUCUUCUGAAUCAGCGUUAGAUCAUCCAACAGAUGUCUUGGCCAAAGCUAAUGAUCCUGAGAGUGCCAAUAAAGAAGAAGUAAAGAAGAGCUUGGCAUCUAAGAUGCCCAAAUUCAUAGUAAAGCCAAAGUCCGCUGCUGCAAAUCCUCAGAAGAAACACAAGAGUACUGAAUCUCGAGCUGUCCAUGAUGAUUUCAAAGCACCAGUUGCAGAGGAGAAAAUUGAAGCUUCAGAAGAGAAGACCAAUAUUCUUCAUUCCCUUUUCCAAUAUGAUAGCGAUGAAAGUGAUGAGUGA